CACCCGCCCCCAUCGCCUCCAUCAAAAAGUACGGUCAAGGGAGUCGUACGCCUUAGCAAUCAAGGAGAUCAGGCAGGAAACCUCUGGGCCAUAAGCUCCGAAAGAUAAAGAAGCUUUACGGACGCCCCCUGCAUUUAUGCGGAACCUGUACCUUGUAUUAGUGAAGAACUGUCGCUAUUCUUAUAGCUUAUAUAUACUGUCGCUAUAAGAACAAACUGUCGCUAUUAUCUUUCUUUUUCCGUUUGCGGGGAUGCGACUCCUGUGUAUCGCAAAGUUGGCUGAAGCUGGAAUGCUAUCCUUGCACGGUUCUAUCUUCCCACACCUCUAUCGCUGCGCAAUCGUCAGGUGGUUGGCAUGUCUUUUGCCGACCGUUGACAUUAUGUUCAUCUACCUUCAACUGCCUUGCAUAUCAUCCUGGACAUUUUAAGGACUGGCACUGCUCGGCGGCUUUUGGGAGACACCUCCCGAGUGGUUUCACUUGCAUCUUCCAUCAUGUACACUGCUUAGUGGUUGACAAUAUGAUAACAUGGAUACUUGCGACCUCCUUCCAAGUACUAAACAUCAUACAUACUAAGGCAGGCGGCUGGCAGAAGUUAAGGCCUGACUUCUGCUCCCAGUCGAUCCAGUCGACCCGGGUUCAAAUCCGCCUGCCAGCUCCUCGGGUAUUUGAGGAGUGAUGAAAUGGGAGGUGGCCCCCCAUCAUAUGGACGGUGUAGGACGUGAUAAUAUCAACUUGCGAGCUGACCAGGAACUAAGUUGAUGCGCCGUUGAUCCGCUAGAUUUGGUUGGAUGCUGGUGGUGAGUUGCCGAACCCAACGAAUACAUUCUGAAGUCGGAUGGGGUGACGGAUUAGGGUGCCCCUCUAGCAGGGGAGAGCAGGGACUGCCCCGGGAAAGGGGGCCGCUGGCGAAGUUAACCACCCUGUAAUAACAUACAUACUAAACGAAGAAAUGGCACUUAAUAGAUGGCCCAACGUGUGAAUAUUCAUACACCAUCGGACGGAGACAACAUACAACGGUUGGGUGGUGUUGAAAAACACCGAGUUGAAUAUAAUGGAUGAGCAUUUAGCAGAUUGUUUAG
rnacentral:lncRNA from 1 species